ACACCCAAGCCGCAGUAGGAGACUUUUCACAGCACCAUCGCACUUUUCUUCCCGUGAAUUUGGACAAUUCCAGUGACAUCUCCGCCACCUCUUGCAUCUCCAUCAUGAUGAUUUUGGCUCUGGCAUUCAUUGCUGUGGUUCAGCUGGCAGCUGCACAGAAUGAAAACGCCACUAUCUCAACCCCAGCGAACACUACGACAGCACUGCCAAUGACCUCUACAGCCACAGCAAACGCCACUGAAGCUACAACCACUACGGUAGUACCAAACACCACUGCAGCUGCAACUACAACCACUACGGUAGUAUCAAACACCACUGCAGCUGCAACUACAACCACUACGGUAGUAUCAAACACCACUGCAGCUGAAACUACAACCACAACGGUAGUAUCGAACACCACUGGAACUACAACCACUCCAGAAGUAUUAAACACCACUGCAACUGCGACCAAUGUGACAACACCACCAGGCACCACUACGCUAGCCACCACAGUCGCCACCUCAACCGACACCAGUGCCUCCACAGUCACCGGAACAACUGUCUCAACCACCACUGUAAUGGGUGGAGGCGCAGAGGUCAAAGCUUCGGUGUUACUCUCCGUUGUGCCCCUCCUUCUCUGCACAAUCCGCUUGUGAGGGUCAAAACCCACCUAAAGGACUGAAAGACUCUUGCACUCCCAAGAUAUCAGUGUUCUUGAGUGUAAAUUAGGCUUAAACUUAGUCACUGGUUCUCACUGUCUCAUGCUUUGUCAAUUCUUUUCCGAAGAAUCCGAGUGUUGGUGGAUGAAGGCGAGCAUUAUGGUAGCAAUAACAUGUUGGUAUUUAGUGGUCUUGCAAAAAUCACCAACUUAGUUUCACUCUAUAUUUUUGUUUUUUACCGUCACUCUCCCUCUGCCUGACUGCACUGCAAUAGAAGGAAUGAAUGGCUGAGUUAGACACUUUACUAUGCAGAACCACGUAAAACGCUGCGCACACACAAACUUGCUUAACACAUUUGUAUUUUUUUAACAAAGCACACAGAAACGAGCACUGUAAUUGAUCUGAACUAUAGAAAAUUAAGAAAGUGAUAUGAUUAAAAUGUAAUCAGUAAUCAAAAGUCGGAAAAAUGCAUUAUUUGAAAUGUGAUUGUUUUGCUGUAUGUGAAUGUUGAUGGAUCCAAAGAUGUGUCAGAAAUAAAAAAUAGACUUCAUUGAAAACGA